AGACUCCUACGGGAGGCAGCAGUGAGGAAUAUUGCGCAAUGGGGGAAACCCUGACGCAGCAACGCCGCGUGUGGGAAGAAGGCCUUCGGGUCGUAAACCACUUUUGCACGGGACGAAAAAGGGAUAUCGAACAAAUAUCCCCGAUGACGGUACCGUGAGAAUAAGCCACGGCUAACUCUGUGCCAGCAGCCGCGGUAAGACAGAGGUGGCAAGCGUUGUUCGGAAUUACUGGGCGUAAGAGUCUGUAGGUGGUUUGUCAAGUCUUUGGUGAAAGGCCGUAGCUUAACUAUGGGAAUGCCAAAGAGACUGGCAGGCUGGAGGCUGG
rnacentral:rRNA from 1 species